rnacentral:misc_RNA from 1 species
GAUGAAGAACGUAGCGAAAUGCGAUACUUGGUGUGAAUUGCAGAAUCCCGUGAACCAUCGAGUCUUUGAACGCAAGUUGCGCCCGAAGCCAUUAGGCCGAGGGCACGCCUGCCUGGGCGUCACACGUCGUUGCCCCCCCAUCUACUCCUUCGGGAUUGCGGGGGGCGGAUGAUGGCCUCCCGUGCGCCUCGCCGCGCGGUUGGCAUAAAUGCCAAGUCCUCGGCGACGCACGCCACGACAAUCGGUGGUUGCGAAACCUCGGUUGCCUGUCGUGUGCGGUCGUCGCGCAUCGAGGGCUCGAAAAAAUUGUCGGGCUCCGGCUCGGCUUUCAACGCGACCCCAGGUCAGGCGGGGUUACCCGCUGAAUUUAAGCAUAUCAAUAAGCGGAGGA